UUUUUUUUUGGUUUGUCGAAUCGUCCAUAUUAAAAAUGUUUUCUCCUCUGUUGAGGCAUAUGGUAGAAAGAUUUGAUAUCGAAUGUUCUAAAUUUGGGUCCGACGUCCGUGAACUUUUCAAUCUUUGAACUUCUAUUUGGAAACCACGUAAAAGGAUCAAUAUAUGAAUCUGUUAUUUUUCUCCAUUGUUGAAGCAUAUGAUAAAAAGAUCAUAAUAUGUCAUUUUUCAUAUCGCCAUGUAAUAAUCUGAUAUUAUUCCCUUAAUUUACAUGUUGAUAUUUAAAACAAGCUUGACGGGUAUUUUUAGGAAUACAUCACAAUUACGGCGCGUCAAACUUAGAAUUAUUCUUAGAAAAUAAAAUAUUUGGUCAAGACGAAUGCAAUCCAAUAUAAAAGGGGUAUGAUAAAGAAUAAAUAAAUCGUGUAACAGCUGCAAGGUUCUAACAGCUGGUUUGUUUUCUUUUAAAGGGGCUUGAGCUACGAGAUAAAAACAAAAAUGUAAUUUUUUUUUUUCGAUCAUUAACGAGAGAAACAUAGCGAAAUAAAACUUCACUUUUAGCAGCCAGUUUGGUUCAGUUUUGUUAGAAUAAGCAUAGAAACGUAUUCAUGUGAACCUCUAAGCUAGAGAUGGGUUACACAUGAACUAGAAGUGUUGGUGUUGUAAAGGGAAAAGAAUGUCAACAUUGAAAGUAAAACAAAGAUAAACCAUUUGAUUUGACUGAUUCGAUCUGCAAAAUCUCAUUGUUUACAGGUAAAAUCGAUUAUCAAUAUAUUGUUUAACCAAUAAUAUGAAAUCAAAUAGACCUAGAAAAAUCCAAUCCACGAGUUCGCUAUUUUUCAUAUCUAUGUUUAUGUUUCGAACGGAUUAUCUUACCGUCGCCAGUCUACGAAAGGUCACCUUAAUGGUAAAUUAGAUGUCGUCUAGACUAAAAUACUAACAAAAUGCUGAUACAAAAUCUCCAGUUUAUGCAUUGUAAAUUGUUUUUUGUAGACUUUUUUAUGUGAAUAUACGUUUCAGUAUGUUAUAAGUCGAAUAUGAAAAUUUCAGUCAAAUCGGUGUACAUGAAUUUGACAGCUAGUGCCUC
rnacentral:lncRNA from 1 species